rnacentral:lncRNA from 1 species
AUAAAUUAGUAUUACAUUUCUGUUUAUAUUGUAGAACUAGUAAAACCUAUGAAUCACUUGGAAUCAAAAAUGCUGUUGACGUUUAUGAUGAUUUAGAUAAUCGUAAAGGUGUGUAAGAGAAUAUUGUUUGAAACAUUUCUCGUAUAUCUAGUGGGCAAAUAAUUAUAGAUGUAUGCACGUUAAGUAUAGAUUGGCAAGUUGUAGAAUAAAAAUCGUAAAACAAAACUACUACAUGAAAAUGCAAACGAUAAAUUAUGAAAUAAAGAAAACAAAAUAUUGGUUUAGAUUGUCUAGAUAAGGUUAAAUUUGGAUACAUAUUUUAUCUUUUUACAUUCAUGUCUUCGUCAAGAUAAUGCUUAGAAACAUUUAAGGAAUGUACAUCAUUAAAGCAUGUAAGCACACUUAUGGAAGUAAUUUAUGUUUUUAAUUUCCAUGAAAAAUAAUUGAAUUUACCACACGUCACACACUAGGUUAAGUCUAUAUCAUGUAUGACUUGGCAUCAACUGCAUUAAAUAUCUGUUUAAAACCAAUCAAAAGUUUUUAUAAGAACAAUCACAAUUGCUAUUGUAAAUCUUGCAGGCCUUCCAUCAUCUGAACCGUAAGUAUUUAUGUGAAUUAAUAAUGUAUAUGUAUUUUAAUUUCAUAUUUUCUGUUAAAAUACAUGAGAACAUUUAAAUAAGGAUACAUUUGGGUUCAAGUAAAAUAUGUUUCUUUACGUAAAUCUACUGUUACAAGCAAACAGUGAUAAUCAAGCUACGGAAAAUGUCGCAGCUCUUCUUAUCGAUCUUUCCUGGAAAAUAAUAAACACAGGACAAAUGACGUUAGAGAAUAUUUUUUUUUAAUAAUUAACAGUAAUAAAUAAUGCUCAAACCAGGAGAAAGGUAUGCCACCAUUAUAUAAACCCUUUACAGAGUUUUCACAAAGACAUGUCACCUAUUAUAAAUAAAGAUAAUAAUAAACGUCGUACAUCUCGGGAUUUAUUAAUUAUUAAAGAAAUAAUGUUUGAUAAUUUACUUUCUAUCUUUGGACAGUUUUUUUCAAUCUACCCUUUUUUUGUUUUAGGCCAGUAAACCUGUAUGAAGCUUUGAGUGCAAACGAUAAACCAAACAUUUAUGAGGAAUUAGAAAAUCGGCAGGGUAAUGUUUGAUUAUUACGAAUCAAUACAAUGCUAGAUGUAACAAUUUAAAACCAUCUUCCUUAUAUUUCCUAGGAAUAUCUCUUGUUUGAUGGUAUUUGAUAUAGGUUAUAGAUAAUGACGUUGUGUGUCAUUAUAAUGACGUGUAAUAGUGUUCUUUUAUUUAUCCUAAGGCUUGUAAAUUAUUCACACCUGCACAUGCUACAGUUUAGUAAAUAUUUGGUUAUAUCCUUUGGGCGUGACUUGGUACUUAAACACAUGACCAUUGUGUAAUGGUCAUUUUUUAUAUUCUUUUCUUUUAUUUUUGUUUAUGUGCUUUGUCUGUAUGGUGUUUGUUUUUUUCUUUUUUUAACAAAUUUCUUGUUCAUAGUGAUUAAGAAUAUCUAAAACUAUUUUUAACAUUUUUACCUAUUAUUUCUGUUUGUUUUGUUCGCAUAUUGUUACCAAGAUGAUGGAAUUGUAUACAACCGUCAUAAAAGAGAGAUGUUUAGAUAGCUAUUUAACCUCCAUCACCAUUUCAGCUUUGUGUUAUUUAAUUAGUUAUUCUGGAUGUUCUGGUAUAAUUGUCGAUACAAUUUCCAUUUCAAAGUAAUAAAAUAUAAAGUAUUGUACUGGUACAUGAUAACCAUACAUUUUCAUAAAACGCACAAUUGACCAAGCAUUGAGAAGAAUAGUCAAAGAGUAUUUGCCAUGGGAAAGAGUAUAUUAUCUCCCUCAAAUUAACCAAGCGACAUCUGUUAUUUUGACAUAACGUAUAAAAAUACGGAAUAUUCUACAUUACUAUGAUUAGCUUAUUAUCAACUGGAUGUCCAAGUUUAGUUACCUGACAUAACUUAUUAAUUGCUUUAUUAUUUUCAAUCGUUGCCUGUUCUAAAUACACUGGUUUGGCAUGGUCAUUUACUUUUACACUACCUAAUUGCGUUGACAUUCUUAUAUUCUAUGAGAACAGGACGGUUAAAAUAUGUUUCUUUAUUAUUUCAUUCUAAAUAACAAAAAUCUGAAUGUCACUGAUAUACAUCGGACAACAAUUGGUAAAUUCGAUAAACUUCAAAGUUUAUAAGGCAGAAGGCUUCACGUUUUUGUUGUUUUAAUCAAUUAAAUUAUAGCACUAACAACAAUAAACUAUAAUAUGAACAUAGAAAAUAUACAUUUAAUCUAUAAAGGAGCAAAAUGAUCAAUAAGCUGGAAAGGUUUCAUGUAUGUUUCUGUAUUCACUUGUAUACAUGCACGCUCGAUGAAGCUAGUUUGAUAUGCAAUAUAUUGCGUUUUAUUUAAGCAUUAUAAUUAUUUAAAUUUUUGAAGAGCUACAUACUAAAGAGUGUGUUAAAUUUACGUUAAAAGGUAAUUUAGGUAUACAUAUAUAAAAAGGUGAUACAAGCAGAUAUGUGUAGGUACAUAUACCUGUGGCCUGCACAAUCCCGAUUAAUUAUGCGUAUAACAUUAUCAAUUUCGUAAGCUGCAAUAAUUUAUGCAGCUGAAGUAUAACAAUAAGUACAAAUUGAACAUAUCCUCCUGUCAAAAGUGGUAUAUUGCAUAAUAAAGCAUAUAUUUAUUAUUGUACCAAAGUAUUGAUGAUUAAACAUUCAACACAUAAUCAUAAUUAUUAAAUUGUUCAAUUUCUUUUAGGACAAACAGAGAAAGUGUAUGUAAAUGAAAGAUUCUGAACUAUAGGUCAC